GCUGGGGCUCAGUGGUGGAGCGCUCACCUAACACGCAUGAGGCACUGGGUUCGAUCCUCAGCCCCACA
rnacentral:tRNA from 1 species